rnacentral:rRNA from 1 species
GACAGAGGGUGCAAACGUUGUUCGGAAUUACUGGGCAUAAAGCGCACGUAGGUGGUCCGCUAAGUCGCGUGUGAAAUCCCCCGGCUCAACCCUGGAACUGCCUUUGAUACUGUCGAUCUGGAGUAUGGAAGAGGUGAGUGGAAUUCCGAGUGUAGAGGUGAAAUUCGUAGAUAUUCGGAGGAACACCAGUGGCGAAGGCGGCUCACUGGUCCAUUACUGACGCUGAGGUGCGAAAGCGUGGGGAGCAAACAGG